GAUGAAGAACGUAGCGAAAUGCGAUACGUAAUGUGAAUUGCAGAAUUCAGUGAAUCAUCGAAUCUUUGAACGCACAUUGCGCCCGCCAGUAUUCUGGCGGGCAUGUCUGUUCGAGCGUCAUUUCAACCCUCAAGCCCAGCUUGGUGUUGGGGAUCGGCACAGGCGCCCUCGGGCGCCCGCCGUCCCCUAAAUCUAGUGGCGGUCCCGCUGCAGCCUCCUCUGCGUAGUAGUUUUCUCCUCGCAAGGGCAGCUCGGUGGCGACCUCGCCGUAAAACCCCCAACUUCUGAAAGGUUGACCUCGAAUCAGGUAGGAAUACCCGCUGAACUUAAGCAUAUCAAUAAGCGGAGGA
rnacentral:misc_RNA from 1 species